ACUGUUCAGAUGUGUAGUUCUUAAUCCCUGUCAGUCAGGGCUGGCCUGUAUCCUGGAGCCAAAGGGCUUCGAUCUCCUACAUUGUUAUUCUAUCUUGUGUAGCUCUGGAUGUUCUUUCUUAUCCAUUGAAACAUCUGAUCCUUUCGUGCUUCCUGCAAAGCUCUUGGCCUCCCUGAUGACAAUGAUUUCCAUCUGUGCUCUCCCUCAGAUCAUUUCCAGGCUCCUUUUGGUGAGCGUGUGGGUUUGCUGGGAUCUGAGCUCCUGUUUUGUGAAUGAGCUCAAGGGCUUGCUGGGGCGACUGUGUGAGCUCUUGCUGCUGAGCAAGCUCCACAAAGCAGAGUCCCGUCCUGCAGUUGGCAGGGCUCCGUGGGGCCUGGUCAAUGUGGACAGGCCCUCUCGUGCUUCUUGCCAGGAUCACAAGCCAAGCUUUUUGGGCUCUUCAGGGUGAGAAGACUCCACGCAGGAGCAAAGGGAGGGAAGACACCCAGAACCCACAUGCUUGAGCCACCUCCAGUGUCAAUUUUAGCAGGGCUGCUACCUGACACACACUUUGUUUCUUGUAUAUCCACUGGGCAGAUGGAGUACACUACAUUUGUUACCACCACUACUUUUAGUAUCCAGCUCUCAAACGCAUAGACCUAUAUCGUCUUGAAAUGUUCCCUUAUUUUGUUUGGCCUGACUCCUAGAGGACAUAACUGUGGGUUUCCGAAUAUUUAAGGCCAAUGUGUUAUUUAUAAGCCAUGUCGGAAACAUCCUGAGCAUGUGGAUUUUUACUGAGUAGAGUCUGGGUUUGGUAUGUCCACACACCUCGGGUUUGCCAUUCUGCAAUGCUUUCUGUGGUGAUUGCAUUUGAGGUUAGCAAUGUCUGUAGCUGCGCCAGUCUCAUGACAUUCUCUUCUUAACAUCUUCAAAUCCACUGGAAAACAGCAAUGAAAUAAGAAGACGGGUAGCAAAGGACUGAGGGAGAACUUGUGUGGUUUCGGAUCCUUUGCAGCACCCUUGUUUAAACUCCUAGCAGCCAUCACACCCCUUGUCUCUGCUCUCUGCUGGCCCCCUCACAGAGGUCUCACCCUUUUCUUCUGAGAUGGUGACCGCUGGGCCUGGCACAGCACCCACACCUGCACCCACCUCCUGGGGAGGAGCAAGUGAUGGAGAAGCGAGCCUCCUCCUUCAGUACUGCUCCAUCCACGCACCCCUCAUGGUGGUGUGUGAAGGGAGCUCAUCUUCAUUCUGUCUGCCCAUUGUGUCCCUCCUCAGCAGCUUCUCCCCUGGGAUUUACAACCCCAGUGCAGGCCAAGGGCCUGGCAAUGAGCUGAGAGCCAGCCAGGUUUCUGGGGCCUGGCAUUUUCCUUCUCCUGCAGGAGCAAUUAGGCUGCCCCGAGGCCGCCUUCAGCAGGCUGAUGUUAUCUCCACCGUGACGCAGACGAGCAGCCCUAAGCCCCUGUAACAGCCAUGCCAGGGUCACUCUCUCCCUGCUGCCUGUGUGCUCCUACCUGCGAGAUAGGCUGGCUUCCAGGGCUCUUCCAGCUAUCUCCAGCCAGCGAGCAAAGCCUUUCCUUUCACAGCACCAAAGCCUGAGAAAAACCCUUUGCCCUGUGCUUGAGGUGAGUCCUGAAGGCUGUGUGAAGGGGAGAAGCACCUGUAAAAGCAAUGCUUUGCUUUGCAUACUCCAGACAUGGAGCUGCUCUACCAGGGGAGAGACUUGGAGUUAUCCAGGGGAGAGACUUGGCUUCCUCACCAAGCCACAGAAGGUCUCCAUGUUUGCUGCCCCUUAACAGAGACGAGAUAAAAGCCUGCGUCAGGGGCGUCUGCUCCUGCUGACACCAUCGUAUCCAGCAGGCCUGCUCUGCUUGAGCGUUAAUUGUGUCUAGAAGUGCUCCCCGCUGCUCUGUGUCACUGCUGAGGGAGAGGCGAUCUCUACCCUGGAAAGCUUUUACCUAAUUAGACCAGACAGAUAGGCAGGGAGACUGAGAGGAGGAAAUGACACUUUGUUUGCCCAGGGCCACAUGCCAGAUGAGUUGCAGCAGUAGGAUGUGAAGCCAGGCCUGGCGGUGCUUAUGCCACAGGUCCAUAUUGCCUCCAAGGCAGGGCUCCAGCACAACGUGGUGGUGGACACAUCCUGGGCCCAUCAUAGACAGCCAGCUCAACAUUCCCCUUCACCACAGGGGUGCAGGAGGGCAUGUUCCUUGGAGAAAAGCCUGGUCUGGCUGCGGAUGAGGGUGGGAGGAUGUGGAGAUGAGCAGUGGCUGGCCAGCAGCCCCCUGAGAGCAGAUGCAGGUUUGGGACACUGCUAGUAGCUGGGCAAAUGAAGGGUAUGAGGCUCUGGAGCCGUAAGCAGGCACAUGUUGGGGUUGACACUGGUAAUAUGGUUGGGACUGGGCACUGUUGGGGUGAACACUGGUCCAUAUGCUGUGGGACACUUCUGUGUACAAUCCGUGAUUUGACAUUGGCCAAUUCUCUACCCUGUGUCAUCCAGUUUUGCUACAGAGAUAAGGGAGUUGACAGGAAAAGCAAAGAGACUGGGCCAGGCUAAGGCCCUUCUUGCUGAGCAGCUCUAUUCUGCUACCCAUGAUUAUUUGGGGUACAUCAAGAUCUUUAGUUUUACAUCCUGGCAGAACAUUUUAUAUCUUAUGAUGAUUGCAAGUUCUUUAAACACCAAGCCAAGGUCUUGCAACGGAGGGGAAGGACAAGGGUGAAAGAAAAAGGCCCUGAACUGUGAGACAGAGUAGAAGAAAGAGCCUCAUUUCAGCUGUUUCAGCAGACCGAGUUUUCUUCAGAUACCAAGAACCAUUUAGGAGCUGCUUGCUGCUCCCCAGAGCCCUGAAGCAUGAACUGGAGAAGAGGUGAAUUAGGAAUGUUGUGCUUCCACAGAGCUGGGAGGACCAUGGCUGCUGGGCUUCAGGUUCAGCCUGGUCUGCAAACCAUUUCAGCACAUGCCUGCUCACACAUUAAUUCCCACAGAAUUACAUUAGCAGGACUCUUUUUGUCCCAUUCAGCUACUUCUGAUGUUGGGGGUCACUUGGUGUUGUGCUCUCUGGCUUUUUUUGGUCGAAGAAAGUUAUCUGGGACGAGCAGCGAGGUGCUUCACCUUUCUCCCUGAUCAGAGGAGCCAGCCCCACGCAAUUAAGCAGCUUAGCUCAAGGCAACAGAAGCCAUUAUUGCUGGGCUCCUCCGCUCUGCUUGAACUCUGUUAUCCAUGCUAAAAAUGUUAGAGAAAGAAAACAUUUCCUUCUCUCCCCGGCGUCUCCCUGGCGCUGGCUGAGUGGCAGGUGCAUAUCUGAGAUACCUGUAUGCGCGUCUAUCUGAUCACCCUUUCUCCCCACUUCAGGCUGUUUAAUUUGAGGUGGGGAGGUAGCUGGUCUCAUGGCAGAGCAAGAACACCUGGCCAGGUGUGACUCUCAGCCCUCCUUGGGGGAAACUUCUCUGGUUUGGCAACCUUCCUACCUCUUGGGGAGAGAACUCAGCUGCUGCCAUGCAAAACUCCCCACCUGCCCCUUAGGAAACAGCAGGGGUAGAGAAGAAUCCCAGUGCUUCCCUCCUUCCUGCCUCCAAGUGCCUUGGUGCUUCUCCAUUUUCCUCCUCUGCUGGGCCUGAGACAGAGAUUGAAUGCUGGGGGAAGGAAUAUAAAACACCCUACUUUAGGUUAAAAGCAGUCCCUUGGCUUUUAUACUGUAGGUGAAGAGCUUGAGCUUGGCUUUUUCUGCAGGGUUGGGAUGUUUUUUCAGAUAGGCAUACAUGUUGCAAAAAUUAUUCUCUUCUGGUUAUGAAUGUUCAUGCUGCAUGCAGUCCUGCUCCACCUUAUCUGGGCAGAAAUGUGUAAUACUAGAAGAAAAAUCCACAUGUACUUCUAUGCUCAUACAUAGAUACAUCUUCAGUGCAUGAAACUGCACCUCAUACCUACCCCUGAACACAACUGGUGCUUGAGGGAAGGGUGUAUUCACUUCUGCCCAAACCCCCAGACUGUCUGUUCCUUCAUGGCUGGUCCCCGUUAUUUCCUAUCUACUUACCCGUGUGUCACUAAGCCUUGCCCUGUUACUCAGACAUGUUUCCUAGUCAUAGUUCAUUGUGGGUUUUCACAUUCAGGUACUAUUAUCACCCUUUCAUGCAUUAAUAAAGACAACUAAAGGCCUGUUUUUACAAAAAUGCUCCUUCCAGAGAAGAUUCCUUUAAUCCACCUUCCACUUUGCUGGUUAAAAAGUUCCCUAAGCCUGUUGGCACAAUGUAUUAGAGAACUGGCCUGGUUGCUUCCAGUCCAACAACCUAAAAAGGUGUCCCGAGCUCACUGGAUGAGAAGUGGACACUCCCAUAGCACUUCAAACACCAGUUUUGCUACUGGCUGUGAGGCGGCCCUGCUGUGGAUGCUGGUUCAUAUCAUAGCGGCUGGAACAUGUGCUGCGUAGGAAAACAGAGCAGCAGAGCUCAGGAGUCAGGGCACGGAGGGCAGAGUCCAAACCUGAAGCAGGAAGGAGUAGGGAGAUUUGUGCGGGUGAACCUAAUCCAGUUUGUGCUGGAUGCUGGAGCACACAACCUCUGACAGCACAGACUACUCUGGACACACUGAACUGUGCAGGGAGUCCUUUCUCUUUCGUUUGGGAGACACAGGUUUCAUCACUCUGACUGGGAGAAGCUCAGAAUGAACUGGUUUGGUUCCAAAGUGGACAGCCAUGCAGGAUUAGAUGUUACCUUAUGCCCAGCGAGACAGUGAGGACAUGGAGUCUGCUGGAUUCCAGGAGGAAGGGUCUGCAGGAAUUCUGGAGGGGAAACUGCCAACCAGGACUCAACACUGACCCCCAGCUCCAGGGGGACAUGUUGCUUGGAGGACACAAAGAGGGGAGAGCAUGAGGAGCACCAGAGUAAGCAGCCAGCAGUUUAAUUUCAGUGUAGGUAAGUACAAGGUAAUGGAACAUGAAAGACCAAUUUAAACUACUUAUGUAACAGGACAGACCUAAAUUAAUUAUUUCUUGCUCAGGAAAACAUCAAGGUCUUUUUCAGGCUCCUUGAGCAAAAGCACUCACAAUAGCUAGCUAGUACUGAAAAGGUUGUAUGAUAAUGCCUUUCUGUGAAUCAGAAUUCUGUCUAUAUUUGAAAUGAUGUGCUCAGAUUUUGUCACUUUUCUAUUCAGAAAUAGAAGGUACCUAAAGAUAGAUGAUGCAAAUUAUUAGGAGACCUAGAAAGGUUUCACAAAGAAAAGAUUAGGAGCAUUAAUUUGGUAAGAGAGAUGUGAUAUAGGAAUGAAAAGAAGAAUGACAGGGAGAAGGCACAUGAGACCCUGUUAUUUAUCUUUUAUUAAAAUACCAGAAUGUGAAAGAAAAAGCUUAUGGCUUACAAUAUUGCAUGUGAAAUACUAACAAAGAAACACACUGUUUUACACAGUAUGCAACCUGUGGAAUUCAUUGUUCGAAAAUACUACUGAGGCCAAGAGCUUUGGAAGAUAUUACUCUCACAUUUUCCAUACAGGAGCAAUAAAAAUAUCAUCCACCCCUACACCAGCUGGGAUAAAAACCUACAAGGGUUAUAAAUCUUCAUAUUUCAUGACAAUAAUUGCUGUGAGCUAGACUAGGAAGACUAUUGCAUAACUGUCCACCGCGAGGGUUUUCUACCUCCCAUGAAGCACGUGGUGCCGGCUGCUGGCAGAGACGGGCUGCUUGGAGAGGCACGUCUGUUUUCCCUUUCCAUCCCUCCCCUCCACAAACACAUCCUUUAAUCUGGAACAGAUCCUUCAGCUGUCCUGAAGGGGACCUUUGGAGCAGUGGAGCAUCACGCAGGACAGACCACCAUCCUGGGCUCUCCUGGCAGCUCAGGGCUGUAUGUGGUGUGCCUGGCAUUAUUCUGGUGAGCUGGGUGCAACUGAGACGUGCCUUUGGCCUUGGGAGAUGUGAAAGCGGGUAGCCCUUUAUCAGGCUCUCUGCAGGGGCAAACUCCAUGGGUACGAGUCAGCAGCAGGGAAGGUGCCCGUCUGAUGCAGACGUCGGCAUUCCCCUUGAGACUGAGAUUUUCUGGUGAAUCACUGCUGUUCUGAGAGGCUGUGAUCAGAGAGCAUCAGGCAGUUCCCUGAGGCAGAUGGUGCCCAGCCUGUGAGUUGGUUUGGAGAGGAGGACCGAAAGUCUGGAUUUGGCCUAAAAUUUGGUACGGAGAAGGUGUGGAGAACCAAAGGCUCUGGUGCUUGAAGUCUGCACUGGAAUAAGAGGGAAGAAACCUGGGGUCUCUGGAAACACUGCAUCAGAAUCUGAACCCGAAGGGAAGAGAUGUUGUCUCCUUGCCAAAAGAUGCAUUAUUGCUAUUCAUGUGCAGUGUGGUUAGGUGCCAGCCAAGAAUGGGACUCCACUGCUCUAGGCAGUGUUCAUACAGAGUAGAAGAUACAAAUCUAACAGAUGUGGCUAUUUCAGUGUCUAGAAGCGAUGAGGAGUGGGGGAAGCACCAAGGCUGUGGAUAGUCCUAACAUGCUGAGAAAUGGGGCCAAUGAUGUAGGCUCUCCUUAGUCCUUGCCUGCUGUUUUUCAGGGAGACACCCUCAACUUUUCCAAAGGAAGAGAAAUUCUCAAAGGUAUUCACAAGCCAAAUCAAUUAUUUUUGCAAUUUUCAUGCAAAGUGGAAUUUCCAACAGUCUCCAGUUUGGGAUUUUGAGUUACACCUUUAGUAUUUCAUUUACAUUCCAGAAUUUCAAAGCACCAGUCAGAAAUCCUAGUUCAUGCCCUUUCUGUGUUUUAUCAUGAUUACUGGCUGUUUUAGAAUAAAGUGUAGUGCGUAAUAUGGCAAGAGA